rnacentral:rRNA from 1 species
UACGGGGGGGGCAAGCGUUGUUCGGAUUUACUGGGCGUAAAGGGCGCGUAGGCGGCUUAACAAGUCACUUGUGAAAUCUCCGGGCUUAACUCGGAACGGCCAAGUGAAACUGUCAAGCUAGAGUGCAGAAGGGGCAAUCGGAAUUCUUGGUGUAGCGGUGAAAUGCGUAGAUAUCAAGAGGAACACCUGAGGUGAAGACGGGUUGCUGGGCUGACACCGACGCUGAGGCGCGAAAGCCAGGGGAGCAAACGGG